rnacentral:rRNA from 1 species
CAGCAGUGGGGAAUAUUGGACAAUGGGGGAAACCCUGAUCCAGCCAUGCCGCGUGUGUGAAGAAGGCCUUUUGGUUGUAAAGCACUUUAAGCAGUGAAGAAGACUCUUCGGUUAAUACCCGGAGACGAUGACAUUAGCUGCAGAAUAAGCACCGGCUAACUCUGUGCCAGCAGCCGCGGUAAUACAGAGGGUGCAAGCGUUAAUCGGAAUUACUGGGCGUAAAGCGAGCGUAGGUGGCUUGAUAAGUCAGAUGUGAAAUCCCCGGGCUUAACCUGGGAACUGCAUCUGAAACUGUUAGGCUAGAGUAGGUGAGAGGGAAGUAGAAUUUCAGGUGUAGCGGUGAAAUGCGUAGAGAUCUGAAGGAAUACCGAUGGCGAAGGCAGCUUCCUGGCAUCAUACUGACACUGAGGCUCGAAAGCGUGGGUAGCAAACAGGAUUAGAUACCCUGGUAGUCCACGCCGUAAACGAUGUCUACUAGUCGUUGGGUCCCUUGAGGACUUAGUGACGCAGCUAACGCAAUAAGUAGACCGCCUGGGGAGUACGGCCGCAAGGUUAAAACUCA